UCGGUACAGUGCGCCGCCUGGCAAGGCCAUCGCCCCUCCUCGUUCUCCUCAUCUUCAACAGUAGAACGGUGGGCAGGCGGCAAGGAAUGGUCUCGGCACAGCCAGAUUCACCUCCAGCAUUCAGUUAAGUAGUGUACAGCUGUGUGUUUUACAAUUCACUAAGGAAGCUAAAUCGGUGACAGUUUGGUCUGUGAAUUCUGUUUGCUUAGACGAGGACAUUGACCAGCAUUAGUGAUCCUCCAAGAUCCAUUCGUGCAACUGAUUUGCUUCUCUCCCAACAAAGCUUCCUGGUUUAUUUCUUUGGUAAACGGCGAGGCCACGGGCAGGUGAUUCUGAAAACAGUGAACUCUAAUGUUCCUCCAUGAAUGGAUCUUAGCUAAUGCCUUCGUUGACAUUGGUAGUACUGAAGAGAAGGAGGAUGGCAUAUCUCGAUUUGUGUACACCACCUGGGUUCAUGUGCACAGCUGGUUUCCAAUGCUUGAAUAAAUGUAUGGCAGGAUGCAGUACAUACCACCGUCUGCCUUUCAGCAAUGGAAUAUUGGGUGCACGAGAUGCUCCACAACCUGCACUUAAUAAGUUGAUCCUUCAUGUCCAUCGUGCUAUCCUUGCAAGGUUAAAUGUAGAGCUUCCAGCCAAGCACAUUAUGCCGAAAACGAUUGAAGUUUAUUCUCGCGGCUUCCUGCCGGCGGCUGCGGGUGGGUGAGCACAGCCUUAGCUAAAGCACAACAAUGGCUAUCGAGUGACCAGCAAAAAGUAUGAGCUCGUGUUAUCGUGGUAGCACAUUGUCGUCGCUCCAGGCAAACCCCCAGUGCUAUCCACAUGUGGGCUGGCUGAACCGGAGCCUGAAGCACGCUGCAGGGUAGCAACAAACAUUGUUGUUCAUGUCAUAUAUUGCUGCUGCAGGUAUGCUCAUCCCCCACUCUUUUCUUUUCCCCUAUCUUCUGUACUAUAUUGACUUUGUCCUGACUUCCAGGUCUUCUACAGGUUACAGCUAAUAUCUUCCUUUUCUCAUCAGUGAGCACCCAGGAAUGCUGGGGAUAGAACGAUUUAUGCAUUUUUAAAUUUAUGCCUAUGUACUGCCUCAUGAUGUUUUUGCGUGCUUGAUGAUCUGCCUGUGGUGUUGAAAAUAAUUAGCAACCAAAAACUGGGGUUUCUGCACCAAUAGUAGUAAUUUGGUUACAAAGUUAAGCUAGCUUGUUGAAAAUAAUUCUGACAACACCCUGUUCCUGAAUUAGAUUUUCUGUAGAUGUUUAUUUGCCGCUUUGCUGGUAUUGUAUUUGUGCCAACAUGAUAUAUAAUCUGAAUGCUUGAUAGUUUUCCUUGUACAGAUCUAUGCUUUGUUCUAUGCUUUUAUGUUGUUUGACAUAUUUUUUAAUUUGUCAUGUUCAUGGUUUUUAAGACGUCUGCUUUGGGACACUUAGCUGAUGAGGCGCCCCUCACAGCGCCUUCCAAAUUUGUCCGCUUUCGGCGCUUAGGCGCCUGCUUAGGCUCCAGAGUGUGGGGUAGAACAUUUUAGGACCCCUUACUGCCUUUAAAAAGCAUGGUCAUAUUUUAGAAAUAUUAGAGCUCAGCUAGAAUAAGGUAUGAAGAGCUUGAUGAAAUUUAUCCGCGGUUGGUGAAUAGGUCUAAUGGUUUUUAGCUUUGCCUACAAAUCUUGAAUGCAUGAUUGAAAUAAUUUUUCUGAAUAGCUUAGGUAUCCAAAUAGUAAGACAAUACUGUAGUUGGCUGAUGCAAAGCUACAUAGCGAAAAAGACUGCUUAGUUGAUUGAUUACAUCGCCGCAAGUUUUCUGUUGAUCUAACCAAUGAAUGGACAUGCUUGAUAUCCCUAAAACAAAUUAACAAAAACUAAACUGCCAUUUAGUGGAAGGCCUUCUUUGUCGCGGCGGGCGAGCGCAUUCUGUGUCACUCCACCAGUCCACCUGUAUGUUCUCUGUUCAUUUUUUUGCAAUUUGUAGAGCAUUCAAUAGAACUGUCAAAAGAGUGCCAGUUUAGUAUAUGUUGAUUUCUGGGCCAUCAUAUUACAACGUUAAUUCAGCUGUGAAUUUAUAAUGGAAUGAGACACUUUGAAAAGGUGGGUGUGGCCUUCGACACGGCGUGCGAGCGCCUUCUCUUGAUGUCAUUGUGGUGGGGGUUUUGAUAAGUCUGUGCUCAGCGUCGUAUAUAUUCUUGUUAUGGGGCUAGAUCCUUGGCAUAUACAUCAGUUUUAUGUCUUGCUUGCGUUGUAUAUAUUUUGGUCUGGUGCUAGAUCUUUGGCCGUGAGGUCCUAUUGAUCUGUUAGUUCUAGGAAAUAAAUGAAUACAAAUGUGUGGAUUUUAUCUAUUCACGUGGUGUUUUCAGAUUUGAGCUUGCAACUGAAUCUAAAGAUUUCUUUUGUGGAUGGGUAAAACAGAAAGUCUGAAACUACAUAAUAUAAGUAUCGAUGCCACUGUUUGCAGGUUCGGUGUGCCUUGGGUUGAAUCUCGGUUGAUUUUUAUGCAGAAGAUUGUGGUCGAGCUGGUACCUCUCCCUCCCCAUGUAGAAGCAGCCUAUGAGCUCCAAUGUCACAACUUGAAAGACAGGAAUAAUAGUUCAGAACUUCAGAUAAAAGAUGGGCACAAUAAUUAUAUAUGUAUAAAACAUGGCAACCAUAAUUCUAUGGAGGAAAGUUGGCAAUAACGAUGUGUUGACUUCGGGAGUUCAAGAUGAUAUCUACGGCCAAAAUUACAUGAAUUAUGAAUCAGUGUAAUUAGAUAGAACAAAAAUUAUACCCCUCUUGUUUAAAAUGUGUAAAAACAUGAUGUUUUGUCCUCUUGUUUCUUUUUGAUGCAAUCCAAAUGCCUUAGGUGAAGUACCAGUUAUGCAGCAACCCUAACAAGUGAGAAUCUCUAUGCCAUUUCAUUUGUUCCCUUUUUACUGAUAUGCAUCUCAAUCUUUUUAAUGCUGUUAAUUCCACGUGGAAGGCAUUGUACUCAUCAUUAGCUCCCAUGCGUUCCACUGCAGACAUUAUUUCUUCAGUCCUAGAGUGCAUCAGACCAGAUGGACUUCGUUCCACUGCACAGUUUUGAGCUUGACAACCUUUAGGCAUUGAUUUCGUUUGGAACAGUAUGGUGUGCAGAAUGGCGGGAGGAAAGGUUGGCCCGGCG